rnacentral:rRNA from 1 species
GAUGAACGCUAGCUACAGGCUUAACACAUGCAAGUCGAGGGGUAACAAGAGGAAAGCUUGCUUUUCUUGUUGACGACCGGCGCACGGGUGAGUAACGCGUAUCCAACCUGCCUAUAACUGGGGAAUAACCUUGCGAAAGUAAGACUAAUACCCUAUGAUUUCCUUUGAUGACAUCAGAUUAGGAAUAAAGAUUUAUCGGUUAUAGAUGGGGAUGCGUCUGAUUAGCUUGUUGGCGGGGUAACGGCCCACCAAGGCAACGAUCAGUAGGGGUUCUGAGAGGAAGGUCCCCUACAUUGGGACUGAGACACGGUCCAAACUCCUACGGGAGGCAGCAGUGAGGAAUAUUGGUCAAUGGGCGGAAGCCUGAACCAGCCAAGUAGCGUGCAGGAUGACGGCCCUAUGGGUUGUAAACUGCUUUUAUACAGGAAUAAAGUUAGCCACGUGUGGUUAUUUGUAGGUACUGUAUGAAUAAGGACCGGCUAAUUCCGUGCCAGCCGCCGCGGUAA